rnacentral:rRNA from 1 species
GGAUUAGAUACCCUGGUAGUCCACGCUGUAAACGAUGAGUGCUAGAUAUCGGAAUCUUUCGGUGUCGAAGCUAACGCGUUAAGCACUCCGCCUGAGGAGUACGAUCGCAAGAUUAAAACUUAAAGGAAUUGACGGGGGCUCGCACAAGUGGUGGAGCAUGCGGUUUAAUUCGAUGCUACGCGAAAAACCUUACCAACCCUUGACAUGGUGAUUAUGAGUAUUAGAGAUAGUACUCUUCAGUUCGGCUGGGUCACACACAGGUGUUGCAUGGCUGUCGUCAGCUCGUGCCG